ACAACCCUCGGACCGUCAGUCUACCGAGCAAUUUCACCCGCUCGGUGGAAGAUCCUGCCUUUGUCGU
rnacentral:pre_miRNA from 1 species